rnacentral:rRNA from 1 species
AGGUUUCCUGGGGAAGGCUCGUCCGCCCAGGGUAAGCCGGGACCUAACCCGAGGCCGAAAGGCGUAGGGGAUGGACAACUGGUUGAAAAUCCAGUGCCACCUGAAAGCCGUUAAGAGUGAAGGGGUGACGCAGGAGGAUAGGUGAAGCGCACGAUUGGAAGAGUGCGUCCAAGCACGAAGAGGGUGAGACAGGCAAAACCGUCUCACGAGACCUUGAGGUGUGAUGGGGAGUGAAACAAAGUAGCGAAGUCAUCGAAUCCAAACUGCCAAGAAAAGCCUCUAGCCAGGAAGAAGGUGCCCGUACCGUAAACCGACACAGGUAGGUGAGGAGAGAAUCCUAAGGCGCGCGAGAGAACCCUCGUUAAGGAACUCGGCAAAAUAACCCCGUAACUUCGGGAGAAGGGGUGCUCUGAUAGCGUGAGUAUAUAAACAUGUACGAGCGUGAGAGAGCCGCAGUGACCAGGCCCAGGCGACUGUUUAGCAAAAACACAGGUCUCUGCCAAAUCGAAAGAUGAAGUAUAGAGGCUGACGCCUGCCCGGUGCUGGAAGGUUAAGGGGAGAGCUUAGCGGCAACGCGAAGGCUUGAGCCGAAGCCCCAGUGAACGGCGGCCGUAACUAUAACGGUCCUAAGGUAGCGAAAUUCCUUGUCUGGUAAGUUCAGACCCGCACGAAAGGCGUAACGAUCUGGGCGCUGUCUCGACGAGGGGCUCGGUGAAAUUGUAAUACCGGUGAAGAUGCCGGUUACCUGCGAUAGGACAGAAAGACCCCGUGGAGCUUUACUGCAGCUUGAUAUUGGAUUUUGGUAGUGCAUGUACAGGAUAGGUGGGAGACUAAGAAUCCAGGUCGCAAGGCUUGGAGGAGUCAAUGGUGGGAUACCACUCUUGAAUUGCUGGAAUUCUAACCUGGGCCCGUAAACCGGGUCAGGGACAUUGUCUGGCGGGCAGUUUGACUGGGGCGGUCGCCUCCCAAAGAGUAACGGAGGCGCCCAAAGGUUUCCUCAGCGCGGAUGGAAAUCGCGCGAAGAGUGUAAAGGCAUAAGGGAGCUUGACUGCGAGAGAGACAUCUCGAGCAGGGACGAAAGUCGGGCUUAGUGAUCCGGCGGUACCGAGUGGAAGGGCCGUCGCUCAUCGGAUAAAAGCUACCCCGGGGAUAACAGGCUUAUCUCCCCCAAGAGUUCACAUCGACGGGGAGGUUUGGCACCUCGAUGUCGGCUCAUCACAUCCUGGGGCUG